CAGCAGCCACGGUAAUACGGAGGGGGCUAGCGUUGUUCGGAAUUACUGGGCGUAAAGCGCACGUAGGCGGCUUGGUAAGUUAGAGGUGAAAGCCUGGAGCUCAACCCCAGAAUUGCCUUUAAGACUGCCGAGCUAGCAGGUGAGAGAGGUAAGUGGAAUUCCGAGUGUAGAGGUGAAAUUCGUAGAUAUUCGGAAGAACACCAGUGGCGAAGGCGGCUUACUGGCUCAUACUGGACGCUGAGGUGCGAAAGCGUGGGGUGCAAACAGGAUUAGAUACCCCGGUAGUCCCUGUCUCUUAUAC
rnacentral:rRNA from 1 species